AUUAUUACAACUAGUGUUAGGAUUAUUUUUUUUCGAAACAAAAUUCGUUUCUCGGUACGAUAGGAGAUUACAGAUAAGUAUUGGUGCACGGUAUCCGGACAAAAUUCCGUUAAAAAAGCAAAAACAGCCACGGUAAAAUCGUCCGACUUUCGAUUUUCAUCAGACGCUUAGUAAUUUAUAUACCUUUUCGAGUUACGUACGCGCUCGUCGCCGUCCAAGUUCGGUUAUUAAUGCAAGUUAUGCAUAAUAUGAAUCGAGGCUAUCGGUAACCCGUUUCACGCGUGUACAAAGUUCACCGCCGUCGUCACUAUUAUAUCUUUUUAACGGGAUUUUAUCCGGCUUAUUUUCAAUCGACGACUAUAGUGAACAGAAAUUUACUAACUUUGAUUUUGUAAUAUACUUAUUUAUUGAUUUAUUAAGUAGUUUUAAAAUAUUAUGUUUUGUAGAUGAUACAGAUUUAGGCAAUAUAAAAAAAAACUAUCGACUCCGACCAAAACGUACAGAAGGUCGAGAAGUAAUAUAACUGAGCUUUUGUUUACAAGCCCAUCUAUUAUUACAUCUCUAUUACAAAUUUACCACGAAACGAAAAAAAAUGACUUCACAGACACGCCUAGUCCAAGUUCAAAAAGGUUGCUUUACACAAAUACUCCUAGGGAAAAAAAAAAUUAAAAUUAAAACCGCGUUACCUACACAAUUUAAGAUUCGAAAUACAUAACGAAGUCAUGUAUUCCCACAAAUUCACAUUUAACGAUUACAUUGGACAUGAGAAAAAAAAAAAAAUCUAACUUUGACUUUAUUUUAUAAGUCACUAACAGCCUAUAAGUUUUUAAGGCGGCUACAAAAUAUUUGCCAGUACCGUUGACUAUUAAUCGCUAGAUUGGACAGUUCAAAUUUUUACCCGACUUUAUCGGCUCCAUUCAAAAAAAAUUCGAAAAUAAAACAUGUAAUGAAAAAUAUUGCAGUGCAAGUUGGGGACUAUCGGAUUUCGGUAUUGUAAAACAAUUUUUAUAUGAAGCUGCG